UUAUAAUGCCAUCAAUUUCCUUUGUAUUUUUUCUAGGGAAAUUUGAGCUACACUUGUAGGAAAGUGUGAUAUUCAAAUAUUGUUUCUGAACAAAUUUUAAGGGACUGUUUAGGAAAAAUGUCCAAAAUUGCAACCAUAUAUUACUGGUGGCAUCCUAAAACAAAACAACAGAUGCACAGUAAAGAGGGUGCCUAAAAAUGUCUUAUGGACAUUGCACACCAAAACACCCUGAUUAUUGCACCUAUCCUCAUCUCUUAACUUCUCUUUACCUUUUCUCUCUGCACUAUCUCUCAGGCAGAAAUAGUUGAAUCAGGAAAGGAGGUACACCACAGCAGACAGUGAGACACCUUGACCAUUGAAGAUGCAACAUCUCAACUCAGAUAUUAUCUGCUUGGAUGGGAGUUCAGCACUGUCACAAAUAAUGUGCACCUACACUGGAUGGCCGCGCAAAAAGAUUCCCUAUUCCCGUGUGAUGGGAUGGUUUACAGAACUCCAGCAAUGCAAAUUUAAGGAACCUGACUCCAAUUUGUCAUUACAGAGUCCACCACAUUGUACUAGAUGUGCGGACAAUGUGACACCAUCUUUCAAACAGCUAAAGUAGACCUUGCAGCAUGACAACCAACCAAAUCAGUCAAUAAAAUACACAAGAGAAUGGCUGGAAAAGAAGAAAUUAGGAAUUCCGGAACAGCCAAGUCAAACCCCAGAUCUUAGGCUAUUCAUAGACAAUUACAAAAAAGGCCUACAAGAUGUUAUUUCUGCCAAAGGGGACAAUACCAGCUAUUGAAGCCAUGGAUGUAGUUUUGUUUCCAGAGCAUUUCCAAUAGCAUUUCUGAUAUUUUAAUGUUUAUUGAAUAAACAACUGCAAAGAAUA